rnacentral:rRNA from 1 species
UACGUAGGGUGCGAGCGUUAAUCGGAAUUACUGGGCGUAAAGCGUGCGCAGGCGGUUCGUUGUGUCGGUGGUGAAAUCCCCGGGCUUAACCUGGGAAUGGCCAUGGAAACUGGCGAACUGGAGUGCGGCAGAGGGGGGUGGAAUUCCGCGUGUAGCAGUGAAAUGCGUAGAGAUCAUGAGGAAGACCAGUGGCGAAGGCGGGUCUCUGGACAGUUCCUGACACUGAGACACGAAGGCCAGGGGAGCAAACGGG